rnacentral:rRNA from 1 species
ACGGAGGGUGCAAGCGUUAUCCGGAAUCAUUGGGUUUAAAGGGUCCGCAGGCGGACUAAUAAGUCAGUGGUGAAAGCCCAUCGCUUAACGAUGGAACUGCCAUUGAUACUGUUAGUCUUGAAUUCGGUCGAAGUGGGCGGAAUGUGUCAUGUAGCGGUGAAAUGCAUAGAUAUGACACAGAACACCGAUAGCGAAGGCAGCUCACUAGGCCUGGAUUGACGCUCAGGGACGAAAGCGUGGGGAGCGAACAGG